UGCUCUUGACUUCAGCAUCAGUUAUAGAAUA
rnacentral:piRNA from 1 species